GCUCGGGAGCAGGUUUACUUUAUGUAAACAGGAUUAGAUCGCGGCCUCUCAGCAACUGGACCUUUAGCCAGCAACACACUGUGAGACCAACUGCACACAAACACUUUGUUUGUUUGCUGAUGUUUGUUGAGUAGAUGGUGUGUAUUGAAGACCUGUUGGCAAAAAACACCUUAUGUCUCAAGGUCAAUGACCUCAAGAGAGACUGAAGAAGAGGAGGCAUGACCAUCUUUAAGAGGACAUACGGGGAAUGUGAACUUCAUGCCAGAGGAUUACUUCAACUUUUUCAUAUGCAAUGCAGCUAAGCCUGUGCUUACAUGAGAAAAAUCACUUAUUGUAUGCAAUUUUAUAAAAUAUAGAAAUUAUCAUUGAAACACACACACACACACAGCAG
ensembl:lncRNA